UGAGACGAAGGUUGAGGGUUGAGGUGAGCAUUUACCGGAAUGAUGACAUUCGAAAUUCAGUUGAAGCAAAGUGGAACUAGAAAAUGCUAUGACCUAUAGAGGAACCUUCCGCCAAACCGGCAAAUCCUGUAUCAACAGUGAUGGGUAAAAUGGUAAAACCUACAGGAACCCGUGCCAAUUCGAGCUCGCUGAGUUUCUCGUCCGCAAAUGUGACGCUGACGGUAAAUCAAUGUUAAUUAGAAAUUUGCCAGCCAAUUGCAUAUUUUUGCGUAAUAUUAAC